GACGAACGCUGGCGGCGUGCUUAACACAUGCAAGUCGAGCGGUAAGGCCCUUUCGGGGGUACGACGAGCGGCGAACGGGUGAGUAACACGUGGGUGACCUGCCCUCAGCUCUGGGAUAAGCCUGGGAAACCGGGUCUAAUACUGGAUAUGACUCCAUGACGCAUGUUGUGGGGUGGAAAGCCUUGUGCGGCUGAGGAUGGGCCCGCGGCCUAUCAGCUUGUUGGUGGGGUGANGGCCUACCAAGGCGACGACGGGUAGCCGGCCU
rnacentral:rRNA from 1 species